rnacentral:rRNA from 1 species
GACGUAGGUGGCGAGCGUUGUCCGGAUUUAUUGGGCGUAAAGAGCUCGUAGGCGGCUCGUCGCGUCGACCGUGAAAACCCGCGGCUUAACUGUGGGCGUGCGGUCGAUACGGGCAUGACUGGAGUUCGGCAGGGGAGACUGGAAUUCCUGGUGUAGCGGUGAAAUGCGCAGAUAUCAGGAGGAACACCGGUGGCGAAGGCGGGUCUCUGGGCCGAUACUGACGCUGAGGAGCGAAAGCGUGGGGAGCGAACAGG